AAUCGCGGCUCGGGGACGGGCAGCGUCGGUCGGCGGGUGGUUUGAUAACUUAUCACUAGGAUAGUGUCUAAUUGCUGCCUCCUGGCUCUUGAGCUGGUAAUUCUUAAUCAAUAUCAACCAACUUAAAACAGGAACAAUACAAUAUUUUUCAAAACUUGACUACAGAUGGUUCCUAGCUAUCUACAUUAGCCUCUAAGUCUGACGCUUUUCAAGACAUAGCUAUGCACCCUGAGAUUCUCCGUAAAGAAGUGGAACUGCCAAACAAAAAGACACCUAAACACAGCGUUGAGUUUGGAAGGCAGCCAUUGCAUUUUCUUGUUUAGCCUUUUCCCAGUGCCUGCAUCAGGAACAAUGCGGGGAUUUAGAGAAGCAACCUGAGUGUGUUUGUGUCCUGAGCAGGAUCAGGCUUUCAAGCUCUGCUGUGUAGACUGCCACCAGCUCCUCGGCAGCAGGUACUGCAGAGCUCACUGCCUGCGUGGAUGAAAGUGACCAAGGGAUCGGCAGCUAGGAUUCCAGGCGGCUUGCAGAAGACUGCCGCAUGCUGUUGCUAUUCUCCCUACUCCCGUCCAGUCGUCACCUACUCCGCAGCAUGGCAAAACGUCUCCCCUGCGGUUCCCACUGAGGAGCAUGUCCCAAGACGCCACUCCCAGUCUGGAGCGUGGGGACGAAUUGAUGCAGCCUGGCUACCGUACACCACCACCACCCCUGCCGCUUCCGGGUGCUCCCCGCCCCCCUCCGAGCUGCCGUGACAGUCUAGGACGCUCAUGCUCCAGAGACAGCAGCGGUCCAGUCCGGCGCGACCUUCACCACCGGCAGGAAUCCUUAUGAGACAGGAAUGAGGGACGAGAGAGAGAGGCCGCACAGGGUGGCCCCACCACAGUGGAGAGAAAUGCAAGCAGCAGCACACCCUCUCCCCAGUGACUCACCUGUUGUGUCUUCCAUGCCACCUGAAAACGCAAUUUGGAGAUAAAAGUUGCCACUGCCGCCGACCAAACUGGACGCUGCAUCCACCACCUCACAUUCUCGAUGACGUAGGAAGUGCAGCACAGAAACCUAACUCGCGUCAACUGCACGUGACCAAGAGAAAGAGCAGCUGGGAGGAGCAAGCCGCCGCGCCCCCCCCCCCCCCCCCCCCCCCCCCCCUUCCUCAGCUAAUCACAGAGCUGCCUAGGUACAGCCUCACUCCAGAAGGGCUUUGUGGGUGUCAUGAUACUCCUCAUGCUUGGUGAGCUGUGCUUGUGGAAGGAUACCUAUCAGGGUAAAAUACACUGCACAACAGCAGCUAGGAGAGGGAGGAGUGAGAAUAUGUGAGAGAAGCAACCCUGCCGACACCAAGGUCGGUGAAGGAGGAGGAGGUGCUCCAGGUGCUGGAGCAGAGAUUCCCUUGCAGCCUGUGGUGAAGACCAUGGUGAUGCAGGUUGUCCCCCUGCAGCCCAUGGAGGUUAACAGUGGAGCAGAUAUUCACCCUGCAGCCCGUGGAGGACCCCACGCUGGAGCAGGUGGAUAUGCCCUGAAGGAAGCUGCAGCCUGUGGAGAGCCCACACAGGAGCAGGCUCUUGGCAGGAACUGCAGCCCACAGAGAGAAGCCCACGCAGGAGCAUGUUUUCUGGCAGGACCUGUGACCCCGUGGGGGAGCCAUGUUCGAGCAGUCCAUUCCUGAAGGACUGUACCCCGUAGAAAGGAUCCAUGCUGGAGUAGUUCCUGAAGAACUGCAGCCCGUGGGAAGGACCCACAUUGGAGAAGGUCGUGACGGACUGUACCCCACUCCGGAGCGGAGGAAGGAGCCGCAGAGAUGAAAUAUUAUGAACUGACCACAACCCCCAUUCCUCAUCACCCUGUGCUGCUUGGUGGGGGUGGUGUAGAAGAGUCAGGAGUGAAGCUGAGCCUGGAAAGAAGGGAGGGGUGGGGGGAAGGUGUUUUUAGAUUUGUUCUUAUUGCUCAGUAACCUGCUCUGUUACAAUUAAUUGACAGUAAAUUGAAUUAACUUCCCCAA